CACGUAGGGUGCGAGCGUUGUCCGGAAUUAUUGGGCGUAAAGAGCUCGUAGGCGGUGUGUCGCGUCGGCCGUGAAAACCUGCAGCUUAACUGUGGGCUUGCGGUCGAUACGGGCAUCACUGGAGUUCGGCAGGGGAGACUGGAAUUCCUGGUGUAGCGGUGAAAUGCGCAGAUAUCAGGAGGAACACCGGUGGGCGAAGGCGGAUCUCUGGGCCAUUACUGACGCU
rnacentral:rRNA from 1 species